rnacentral:rRNA from 1 species
CAUGUCCUUUUGAGAAUAAUUUAAGGUCUAAUCUGCUCAAUGAAAAUUAAAUUGCCGCAGUAUUUUGACUGUGCAAAGGUAGCAUAAUAAUUAGUUUAUUAAUUAUAAACUGGAAUGAAUGAUUGGACAAGAAAAUUUCUGUCUCUUUAUUAAUUUUUUUGAAUUUUAUUUUUAAGUGAAAAAGCUUAAAUUUGUAUAAAAGACGAGAAGACCCUAUAGAGUUUAAUAUAUUAAUUUAUUUAAUAUUAGAAUAUUAAUAAAAAGUAUAUAUUUGGUUGGGGUGAUUUAAAAAUAUAAUUAAUUUUUUAAUUUUUUAAUUGGUGAUUUCUAAAUUUAAUAUCUAUAAUUUAUAAUUAUAAAAUAAAUUACCUUAGGGAUAACAGCGUAAUUAUUUUUGAAAGAUCUUAUUUAAAAAAUAGUUUGCGACCUCGAUGUUGGAUUAAAAUUUAUUUUUUGGUGUAGUAGCUGAAAUAUUAGGUCUGUUCGACCUUUAAAAUUUUACAUGAUCUGAGUUUAGACCGGUGUAAACCAGGUUGGAUUCUAUCUUUAAUAAAAUUAUAUAUUUUAGUACGAAAGGACCAAAUAUGUAUUAUAUUAAUUG